CACUUUGCACAGUGGCAGUAUCACAGUCAAUGAGGUUUAUCCGAGGCACAAUUAUUGCUAAUUGAAAACUUUUCCCAAUACCCCACCACGACUCCUUGCAAUACAGUUGGCGCUGGCAAUUUUUGAUGGCCCUACGGGG
rnacentral:snRNA from 1 species